rnacentral:rRNA from 1 species
CCUACGGGGGGCAGCAGUGGGGAAUAUUGCACAAUGGGGGAAACCCUGAUGCAGCAACGCCGCGUGAGCGAUGAAGGCCUUCGGGUCGUAAAGCUCUGUCCUAAGGGAAGAAUACUGACGGUACCUUAGGAGGAAGCCCCGGCUAACUACGUGCCAGCAGCCGCGGUAAUACGUAGGGGGCGAGCGUUAUCCGGAAUCACUGGGCGUAAAGGGUGCGUAGGCGGCCGAUUAAGCUAGGGGUGAAAGGCUAUGGCUCAACCGUAGUAAGCCCUUGGAACUGAUUGGAUUGAGUGGAGGGGAGGAGGGUGGAAUUCCUAGUAUAGCGGUGAAAUGCGUAGAUAUUAAGAGGAAAACCAGUGGCGAAGGCGACUCUCUGGACUGUAACUGACGCUGAGGCACGAAAGCGUGGGGAGAAAACAGGAUUAGAUACCCCAGUAGUC